CUCCAGAUGUUGCUGAACUACAACUCCCAUAAUUCUCAGCCUAUCUAUUUCAUUCAAAGAAUCAUGGGAGUUGUAGUUCAGCAACAUCUGGAG
rnacentral:miRNA from 1 species